rnacentral:snRNA from 1 species
AAAUUUUUUCAAAAAAAAAAAAAAAAUCUGUUCUUAUCAGUUUAAUAUCUGAUACGUCCCCCAUCCGGGGACUACAUAUUAAAUGGAUUUUUAGAUCACGGAGCUGGAGCCGGGGCUUGCUCCGUCCACUCCAUGCAUCGGCCUGGUAUUGCAGUGUCUCCAGGAACGGUGUGCUUUCC